GCAGCCUGAGGCCACCUCCUCGAGCUCUUGCCUGCGGAUCGGCGAGCUCUCCCGCAGCAUGGGGUCCAUUUAAACGAGGGCUCCGCACCAGGCGAAGCAGGCUGGAAGUGGGAGGAAGGCGGCGGAGGGCAUCGCAAGGAUGCACGGGCCUCCCUGUUUCUUUGGUAGAGUCGAUCCGCACUCGGUCUGACCCAGGACGUCACUCUGCCUGUCUGUUUUCUCAAUGAUAACUUGGUAGGAGAAGGUGGAAGCUGCCAGACCCCCCCCCCCCCCCCGUGAGAUCAUUGCUGGCAAGGAAGAAAAAAAAGGAUUAUCCUCUACUGAGUCAAUUACAUACAGUCCUGAGGAUGAGCACAUGGAAGAAAUUCAACACAUGUGUGAACCAAUCAUGUACACCAUUUCUGGUUGUAUUUCCUUUAACAAAUAUUUUGAUCCUCAUGGUAAGAGGAAAUAAAUAAAACUCUGAAAUAAA